AGUUGCCGCCGCCCCUUGGAGGCCUGGACACCGACGCCGCCGGCCCCAACAUGCCGAGUCGCCGACGCCACCGGCCACGAGGGGCUCCUCCUCCCUGAUGACGACGACCUCUUCACCGCUGCUUUUCUGGAAGAAGGGGAGCAGGAGAGCAAGGUAUACCUAGGUUUUGGCGGCAGGAAGAAGGGCGAGGUCGUCGCGUGGGGCAUCAACAAGUGGAGGCGCACGCAGUACGCCAAGAAGGCACCCAGGAUGGUCAGCGCCGGCGGCGCUAGGGUCAGCCCCUGCCCUAUCCAGGAGCCGUGCUGAGCGACCGCCGCGCGCAUCAAAACCAUCCAUCCACCCCAUCUUGACACACAAGCUGAAAAAAAUUAGGCAAAAAAAGCUCUUCCAGGAUGGAUGUGUGAGUGGAAACAUGGGCGGAGCCGGAGCACGAAUGAAAUAUAAAUAAACGGGUAUGAAGCCAUUACAUUUGAUCAUCUCUUUCUCCAUCACUGCAGACAUUUUUAUUAAGAGCAUUUUUUUCAUCUGUGAGAAGAUAC